GACGAACGCUGGCGGCGUGCUUAACACAUGCAAGUCGAACGGAAAGGCCCCCAUCUUGGUGGGGGUGCGCGAGUGGCGGACGGGUGAGUAACACGUGGGUGAUCUGCCCUUUACUUCGGGAUAAGCUUGGGAAACUGGGGCUAAUACCGGAUAAUAUCAUGGUUUAGAGUGUCAUGGAGGAAAGAUUAGUGUUUUGGUGCAGGAUGAGCCGGCGGCCUUUCAGCUUGUUGGUGGGGCAAUGGCCUGCCAAGGCGUGGACGGGUAGCCGGCCGGAGAGCGGGGACGCCGGCAUUGGGACUGGGUCCCGGCCCCGACGCCAACGGGCGGCAGCGGUGGGGCCGAUUGCACAGUGGGCGCAACCCAGCUGCAGCGCCGCAGUGUGGGGGAUGUCGGCAUUGGGGUUGUAAACUACUUUCGUUAGGGACGAGGCCACGCUUUUGGGGUGUGGUGACGGUUCCUUUGUUAAGAAGCCCCGGCUAACUACGUG
rnacentral:rRNA from 1 species